AUUGAACGCUGGCGGUAUGCUUAACACAUGCAAGUCGAACGGUAACAGGCCUUCGGGCGCUGACGAGUGGCGGACGGGUGAGUAACGCGUAGGAAUCUGCCUCAUAGUGGGGGACAACGUGGGGAAACUCACGCUAAUACCGCAUACGCCCUACGGGGGAAAGCGGGGGAUCUUCGGACCUCGCGCUAUGAGAUGAGCCUGCGUUAGAUUAGCUAGUUGGUAGGGUAAAGGCCUACCAAGGCGACGAUCUAUCGCUGGUCUGAGAGGACGAUCAGCCACACUGGGACUGAGACACGGACCAGACUCCUACGGGAGGCAGCAGUGGGGAAUAUUGGACAAUGGGCGCAAGCCUGAUCCAGCAAUACCGCGUGUGUGAAGAAGGCCCUAGGGUUGUAAAACACUUUCAAUUGGGAGGAAAACCUGCCGGUCAAUACCCGGCAGCUUGACAUUACCUUUAGAAGAAGCACCGGCUAACUCCGUGCCAGCCGCCGCAGUAAAAC
rnacentral:rRNA from 1 species